CCUACGGGUGGCAGCAGUAGGGAAUUUUCGGCAAUGGGGGGAACCCUGACCGAGCAACGCCGCGUGAACGAAGAAGUAUCUCGGUACGUAAAGCUCUAUCAGCAGGGAAGAAAAUGACGGUACCUGACUAAGAAGCCCCGGCUAACUACGUGCCAGCAGCCGCGGUAAUACGUAGGGGGCAAGCGUUAUCCGGAUUUACUGGGUGUAAAGGGAGCGUAGACGGCAGCACAAGUCUGGAGUGAAAUCCCGGGGCUUAACCCCGGAACUGCUUUGGAAACUGUGCGGCUGGAGUGCAGGAGGGGUAAGCGGAAUUCCUAGUGUAGCGGUGAAAUGCGUAGAUAUUAGGAGGAACACCGGUGGCGAAGGCGGCUUACUGGACUGUAACUGACGUUGAGGCUCGAAAGCGUGGGGAGCAAACAGGAUUAGAUACCCGGGUAGUC
rnacentral:rRNA from 1 species